CCUGGUGGACCGCCAUAACCUCGGGAAAACUGAGGCUAAUAGCGGAAAUCGCUUCCGAGCUGGAACAGCUGGGAGCGUGAAACGCUCCGGUGCCACAGGAUGUGACUGCGGCCGAUUAGGUAGAUGGUGGGGUAACGGCCCACCAUGCCGAUAAUCGGUACGGGUUGUGAGAGCAAGAGCCCGGAGACGGACUCUGAGACAAGAGUCCGGGCCCUACGGGGCGCAGCAGGCGCGAAACCUUUACACUGCGCGACAGCGCGAUAGGGGGACACCGAGUGCGAGGGCAUAGAGCCCUCGCUUUUGUGUACCGUAAGGUGGUACAGGAAUAAGGGCUGGGCAAGACCGGUGCCAGCCGCCGCGGUAACACCGGCAGCCCAAGUGAUGGCCGCUAUUAUUGGGCCUAAAGCGUCCGUAGCCGGCCGUUCAGGUCCGUCGGGAAAUCCACUGGCUUAACCAGUGGGCGUCCGGCGGAAACCGUUCGGCUUGGGACAGGGAGACCAGAGGGGUACGUCCGGGGUAGGAGUGAAAUCCCGUAAUCCUGGACGGACCAUCGGUGGCGAAAGCGCCUCUGGAGAACUGAUCCGACGGUGAGGGACGAAAGCUAGGGUCUCGAACUGGAUUAGAUACCCGGGUAGUCCUAGCCGUAAACGAUGCUCGCU
rnacentral:rRNA from 1 species